rnacentral:rRNA from 1 species
AAGUCGAGCGGAGACAGUGAGUAGCUUGCUAUGAGCUGUUUUAGCGGCGGACGGGUGAGUAACGCGUGAGCAACCUUUCCCAGACAGGGGAAUAACACACCGAAAGGUGUACUAAUACCGCAUAAGACCACGGGAUCACAUGGUUCUGGGGUAAAAGAUUUAUCGGUUUGGGGUGGGCUCGCGUCCGAUUAGGUAGUUGGUGAGGUAACGGCCCACCAAGCCGACGAUCGGUAGCCGACCUGAGAGGGUGAUCGGCCACAUUGGGACUGAGACACGGCCCAAACUCCUACGGGAGGCAGCAGUGGGGAAUAUUGGGCAAUGGGGGGAACCCUGACCCAGCAACGCCGCGUGGAGGAAGAAGGUUUUCGGAUCGUAAACUCCUGUCCUUGGAGACGAGUAGAAGACGGUAUCCAAGGAGGAAGCCCCGGCUAACUACGUGCCAGCAGCCGCGGUAAUACGUAGGGGGCAAGCGUUGUCCGGAAUAAUUGGGCGUAAAGGGCGCGUAGGCGGCUCGGUAAGUCUGGAGUGAAAGUCCUGCUUUUAAGGUGGGAAUUGCUUUGGAUACUGUCGGGCUUGAGUGCAGGAGAGGUUAGUGGAAUUCCCAGUGUAGCGGUGAAAUGCGUAGAGAUUGGGAGGAACACCAGUGGCGAAGGCGACUAACUGGACUGUAACUGACGCUGAGGCGCGAAAGUGUGGGGAGCAAACAG